rnacentral:rRNA from 1 species
CCUACGGGGGGCAGCAGUGAGGAAUAUUGGUCAAUGGACGAGAGUCUGAACCAGCCAAGCAGCGUGAAGGAUGACUGCUCUAUGGGUUGUAAACUCCUUUUAUAUGGGAAUAAAAUGUUACACGUGUGGGAUUUUGUAUGUACCAUAUGAAUAAGGAACGGCUAACUCCGUGCCAGCAGCCGCGGUAAUACGGAGGAUCCGAGCGUUAUCCGGAUUUAUUGGGUUUAAAGGGAGCGUAGGUGGUUUGUUAAGUUAGUUGUGAAAGUUCGCGGCUCAACCUGAAAAUUGCAUUUGAAACUGGCAGGCUUGAGUGCAGUAGAGGUGGGCGGAAUGCGUGGUGUAGCGGUGAAAUGCGUAGAUAUCACGAAGAACUCCGAUUGCGAAGGCAGUUCACUGGACUGCAACUGACGCUGAGGCUCGAAAGUGUGGGUAUCAAACAGGAUUAGAUACCCCUGUAGUC